CCUACGGGAGGCUGCAGUGGGGAAUAUUGGACAAUGGGGGCAACCCUGAUCCAGCCAUGCCGCGUGUGUGAAGAAGGCCCUCGGGUUGUAAAGCACUUUCAGUGAGGAAGAACGCCUGGUGGUUAAUACCCAUCAGGAAAGACAUCACUCACAGAAGAAGCACCGGCUAACUCCGUGCCAGCAGCCGCGGUAAUACGGAGGGUGCGAGCGUUAAUCGGAAUUACUGGGCGUAAAGCGCGCGUAGGUGGCUUGAUAAGCCGGUUGUGAAAGCCCCGGGCUCAACCUGGGAACGGCAUCCGGAACUGUCAAGCUAGAGUGCAGGAGAGGAAGGUAGAAUUCCCGGUGUAGCGGUGAAAUGCGUAGAGAUCGGGAGGAGUACCAGUGGCGAAGGCGGCCUUCUGGACUGACACUGACACUGAGGUGCGAAAGCGUGGGUAGCAAACAGGAUUAGAUACCCUAGUAGUC
rnacentral:rRNA from 1 species